GGGUACGAUCAUACCAGCACUAAUGCACCGGAUCCCAUCAGAACUCCACAGUUAAGCGUGCUUGGGCCAGAGUAGUACUAGCAUAGGUGACCUCCUGGGAGGUUCUCGUGUUGCACACC
rnacentral:rRNA from 1 species